CUCCUAGCCACAACCAUCUUAUCCAUUCUCCCCCAUCCAGACCAGUACAUCACUGCAUUUGAUCCUCGCAGUGAGUCCCUGGCCGGCGACGAGCGCAAGGGGACGGCAACGGGACGGCGAGGAGAGGUCUUGGCCGGCGACGGACUCGCCCGGCCGCUCCUCUGACGACGUAGCGGAGGACAGGGGGGACAACAGAGGGGCGGGAGGAGCCUGUCGAGGGCAAGGCGAGGUGAGGUCCUGGCCGGUGCCGGACUCGCCGAGCCACUCCUCUGACGACGGAGGGGAGGUUGGGGGGGCACCUGGAGGUCGUCAGCGUCUACAUCAUCGUCGUCCACGACGGCGGCGGCCUCGAUGCAUGUGGCCGGGGUCGUCUCAGCUGCGCCACGCUCCACGCAAGGAGGUCCAGACCGACCAGCCGUCGGCUCGCUCCAUGAUGCAGGCGUCGGCAAGCUCGAAAGUCUCGCCGACCUGGGCUCCUCCUUCAGCGGCGCCAGAAUCCCCUAUAGCUCAGCGACGCUGGCCUCCACUCCGGCAAUGGCCGCUGCCCUACAAGCGCUAGGUCCUGGCGCGGCACCAGUAGAUGCGUUGCCUGCACGAGGAUGUUGCAGGCUACAGGUUCGUUCGUUGGACAUUUGAGCUCUCUUAUCACUAGUCGGGUGGAUAGUUGAAACUUUCAAUGUGCAAUCAAAUUACAUAGUUCAUUUUUUUUCACAUGGCAAUUUUUGUUGUGUUCACUUGUGUGGAAGCUGUGGAAGAUGAAUGCCCUAGCAUUUUUGCAUACCAUGUCAUUUUGAGGUCAUGGAAGCAUGGCAAUUGUAGUUUAUAAACAUCACUCAUGAGUUCAUUUUUUUCACAUGGCAACUUUUGUUUUGUGUUCACUUUGUGUGCAAGCUAUGGAAGAUGAAUCCCCUCGGAUUUUUAUGUAUCAUGGCUUUUUAUGUUCAUGGAAGUAUGGCAAUUGUAGUUUAUGGGUAAUGGCAAAUUCCUUUUUCCUUCUCCAACAAUGGCAAACUAUUUCUAUUUCUUAUGGGGCCAUGUCAAUAUAUAUUAAUUACCCAUGGCAAAUGUAAUUCAUGUGUCAUGGCAACUUUUCCCACUAUAUGGUUGAGAUGAAGAAAAUGCACACUACAUACAUGACAUUUUUCUUAAACUAACUUGGUAUAGUUGCCUUGUUCUUUUGCCCAAUCAAAUGGCCUUCAACUGUUUGUUGGUUGGUAGCUGAUUCGUAUUGAGUUUUAAUUUGUGUUGAGAGAUAGGUUAGUAGUAGGCCAUGACAAAACUAGGAGAAAUAUUCAAAAAAAUGUGGCAACUUCUGUGGAGUGACAUGGCAAAUAAUCAUAUGACACAAUUCAUAUUUUUUGUGUAUAUUCACACUUUCCAUUCAUAGAGAAAUUUUGCAUUUGGUCGCAUGGAUUUUUUUCCUAAAGUGACACGGCACAUGUGUUUUCACACAUUGACAUGGCAAAUUUCUUAAAAGUAGGUUACUCAAAGAUGACAUAUUUCAGGUAGCGACCUUUCCAUGCCCCUGCCAAGUUGACCAUGACAAUUUUUUCCAUAAUAUCGAGGUAGUGACCUUUGUCAUGACCCUACUAUGUCGACCAUGUCAAAUUUGUUAAACAUCCCAUGGCAAUCUAUUUUAUUUAAAUAGCAUGGCAGAUUCAUAUAUGCACAGUUGCCAUGAUCUUGCGGAGCUACUUUUGCCAUGGUAUUUACUGUUUUUACAUUCUUUUCUUCAAGGAAGAAAUAGAGCAUGGCAAAAUUUCUUUUCUGCACCGUGGAAAAUUUAGUUUAUGCACCAUGGAAAAUUUAGUUUAUGGUCCAUGGCAAAUUUAGUUUACGGUCCAUGGCAAAGUAUAUAUUUUACACCAUGG
rnacentral:rRNA from 1 species